CAACCUUUUCCAUUCUUCCCUCCAAGACCAUCUGACCAUGUGCAUUUACCUCAUACAUAUCCUAGUGUGAACAACUACCUCACUCAAGGUAAGGGACUCAAGAUGUGGAGCCCUCAUGACUGAUCAAGCAUUAGUAUGAAGAACUAAACAUGGUGGAUGAGGACAAACAGGAUCGGGAGGAGGACAGAGUUAAAGUGGCGUGAUAUUGCCUGAGCAUCAGCAUAACUGAACAACACAGACAGCAAAAUGAUGUUCAUCAGCAAAGAAAGAGGGUCAGGAAUGGGUGGUUGUCACAACAGCGUGCUAAGUAUUGAUGUCUCACAAGACAUCACGUUAAACGUUUGACCAUAACAUACACAUACUGUAACUUUACUAUUUUAUUUGCUUCCUGCUCCUGUGUUGUUUAAAUGUAUUGUACAGUUUGUAAUGUUCCUGCAAAUAAUUAUAAAACAACUAUUUGAAGUUAAGUUAAUAAAGAACAGAAAAUGUAA